rnacentral:rRNA from 1 species
CCAGACUCCUACGGGAGGCAGCAGUGGGGAAUAUUGCACAAUGGGGGAAACCCUGAUGCAGCGACGCCGCGUGAAGGAAGAAGUAUUUCGGUAUGUAAACUUCUAUCAGCAGGGAAGAAAAUGACGGUACCUGACUAAGAAGCCCCGGCUAACUACGUGCCAGCAGCCGCGGUACUACGUAGGGGGCAAGCGUUAUCCGGAUUUACUGGGUGUAAAGGGAGCGUAGACGGCAUGGCAAGUCAGAUGUGAAAGCCCGCGGCCCAACCGCGGGACUGCGUUGGGAACUGGCGCGCUGGAGUGCCGGAGGAGUAGGCGGAAUUCCUAGUGUAGCGGUGAAAUGCGUAGAUAUUAGGAGGAACACCAGUGGCGAAGGCGGCCUACUGGACGGUGACUGACGCUGAGGCUCGAAAGCGUGGGGAGCAAACAGGAUUAGAUACCCCUGUA